rnacentral:rRNA from 1 species
GACGAACGCUGGCGGCGUGCUUAACACAUGCAAGUCGAACGUGAUUUUUGUAGAAAUUCUUUCGGGAAUGGAAAUGAAAUGAAAGUGGCGAACGGGUGAGUAACACGUGAGCAACCUACCUUACACAGGGGGAUAGCCGUUGGAAACGACGAUUAAUACCGCAUGAGACCACAGAAUCGCAUGAUAUAGGGGUCAAAGAUUUAUCGGUGUAAGAAGGGCUCGCGUCUGAUUAGCUAGUUGGAAGGGUAAAGGCCUACCAAGGCGACGAUCAGUAGCCGGUCUGAGAGGAUGAACGGCCACAUUGGAACUGAGACACGGUCCAAACUCCUACGGGAGGCAGCAGUGGGGAAUAUUGCACAAUGGGGGGAACCCUGAUGCAGCGACGCCGCGUGAGCGAAGAAGGUUUUCGAAUCGUAAAGCUCUGUCCUAUGAGAAGAUAAUGACGGUAUCAUAGGAGGAAGCCCCGGCUAAAUACGUGCCAGCAGCCGCGGUAAUACGUAUGGGGCGAGCGUUGUCCGGAAUUAUUGGGCGUAAAGGGUACGUAGGCGGUUUUUUAAGUCAGGUGUGAAAGCGUGAGGCUUAACCUCAUUAAGCACUUGAAACUGGAAGACUUGAGUGAAGGAGAGGAAAGUGGAAUUCCUAGUGUAGCGGUGAAAUGCGUAGAUAUUAGGAGGAAUACCGGUGGCGAAGGCGACUUUCUGGACUUUUACUGACGCUCAGGUACGAAAGCGUGGGGAGCAAACAGG